rnacentral:rRNA from 1 species
GUCCACGCUGUAAACGAUGGAUGCUAGGUGUUGGGGGUAUUGACCCCUCCAGUGCCGCAGUUAACGCAUUAAGCAUCCCGCCUGGGGAGUACGGCCGCAAGGCUAAAACUCAAAGGAAUUUACGGGGGCCCCGCACAAGCGGUGGAGCAUGUGGUUUAAUUCGACGCAACGCGAAGAACCUUACCUGGGUUAAAUCCGCCGGAAUUCCGCAGAGAUGUGGAAGUGCCCUUCGGGGAACCGGUGAGAAGGUGCUGCAUGGCUGUCGU